ACGUGUCCGAAAACCGAGUUUCAUUGACGCGCGAACAAUUAGACUUUCAUGACGAAUUUUAGAUGCCGCCAAUAAUGUACUGAUGGUACAUUUCUAAACACCAACCUUUCACCAACCUUUCAUUCACCUUUCAUCCUUGAUUUCAAUCACUACCAGCUGGGUUUGACACGAAAAUAUGACCAGCUGAAGCUUGAGAACAAUGACGAUGACUGUAAACAUCGGAAGGCCAGCUGGUUUUGUUGUGUAAACAGGAUCAGCUGGUGAGUCGAGAACAAAGAGAAAAUGGUAAACACUGAGCCGGCCGAAGAAAACUGUCAUGAACAUCAGGGUAAUUGCAUGGGCGGCGGUGAUCGAAAAGGGGCAGCGAAAUUGAAGGCGAAAUCUGAGAAAGACGAAAUUAAGAUCACUAAAGUCUAAGUGGUGAAAAAAUCGCAAUAUUUCUGGAGAUAACUUGUAUGCGGAAUUUAAUUAUAAAAUAUUUUCUCAUCUCGUAUCUGGAUGGUUGAAAACGUUGUGCAAAAUCAUUACAUAGGAAUCGAACUGGGUGACGGAGAAAAAUUUCCAACAACUGCCAACGUUAUUCGAUUCUCGUGUCUAUCACAUUCACUCUAACAACUGGAGGGCCGAGUAUUCCAGUGGAUUUUAUUGAGAAAACCCAAAGCGAGGAUUAUGUCGGAAGGAACAAUUUUGUCAAAUAAAUUAUGCAUUAAUUGAAAAAUGAAAGGAAUAAGAUAUUUAAAAUACAUAAUGAAAGAAUAACAAAAUCAACGAGAACCAUACGCUAUGCAGUACCAUGCUAUGGUGUAACUACACCCCAACCAUUUUUUUCAAUUUCUAGUAAUGCAAUUACCAACCGUAUGUGGUAAACUCUCAUUAUGGUCGUCUUUCGAAUUUUGUUUGAGAAAAAACCCAUUCUCAAACGGUAAACAUUAUUAAUAGCCCGUUGUUGAUAUGGUCGGAUCUC